rnacentral:rRNA from 1 species
UGGGGAAUAUUGCACAAUGGGCGCAAGCCUGAUGCAGCCAUGCCGCGUGUAUGAAGAAGGCCUUCGGGUUGUAAAGUACUUUCAGCGGGGAGGAAGGGAGUAAAGUUAAUACCUUUGCUCAUUGACGUUACCCGCAGAAGAAGCACCGGCUAACUCCGUGCCAGCAGCCGCGGUAAUACGGAGGGUGCAAGCGUUAAUCGGAAUUACUGGGCGUAAAGCGCACGCAGGCGGUCUGUCAAGUCGGAUGUGAAAUCCCCGGGCUCAACCUGGGAACUGCAUUCGAAACUGGCAGGCUAGAGUCUUGUAGAGGGGGGUAGAAUUCCAGGUGUAGCGGUGAAAUGCGUAGAGAUCUGGAGGAAUACCGGUGGCGAAGGCGGCCCCCUGGACAAAGACUGCCGCUCAGGUGCGAAAGCGUGGGGAGCAAACAGG